rnacentral:rRNA from 1 species
AGCGAACGCUGGCGGCAGGCUUAACACAUGCAAGUCGAGCGGGCAUCCUCGGAUGUCAGCGGCAGACGGGUGAGUAACACGUGGGAACGUACCCUUCGGUUCGGAACAACUCUGGGAAACUGGAGCUAAUACCGGAUACGCCCUUAUGGGGAAAGGUUUACUGCCGAAGGAUCGGCCCGCGUCUGAUUAGCUAGUCGGUGGGGUAACGGCCUACCAAGGCGACGAUCAGUAGCUGGUCUGAGAGGAUGAUCAGCCACACUGGGACUGAGACACGGCCCAGACUCCUACGGGAGGCAGCAGUGGGGAAUAUUGGACAAUGGGCGCAAGCCUGAUCCAGCCAUGCUGCGUGAGUGAUGAAGGCCUUAGGGCUGUAAAGCUCUUUUGUCCGGGACGAUAAUGACGGUACCGGAAGAAUAAGCCCCGGCUAACUUCGUG